ACACUAAUUCAUCUCGAAUGCUUCAAACAUACUCCUCUCAAAAUAUUUCAAAAACUACAAACAACCUUCAACCUCAUUGAUCUUCAAGCUUAGAUUGCUCCUUCUAAAGAUCGUUAUUCAAGACCCAAACAACAAAGGAGGAACAAUCUUGAAGCUUUAAUGGAGAUUUGAUGGAACUUCAAGUGCUCUAAUUAUAUGUUUGUAGCGUGUGAGCAAACUUUUGUAAUGUGAAACCUUGUGUGGUGUAUGGUGAUGUGGGUACGAGCCCUCUAUAUGUCUUCACUGACGUGUUUAGCAAGGUGCCUAUAACAUCAGAAAUCGAUGUUCUGGUGGCAUUGUCUGUUAUACUGUAUACAAUAACUCUUGUACCCUUACGAAAUAUGUAUUUGUAGUGCUUAAAGCUAAUGACAAUGGUGAAGGUACGAGAUUUUCCAACUUUCUUUCUGACUUGUUUGUUUUGUCAAUAGUUAUUUCAUGUCUACAAAUAAUUGGCAAUUAUUGGCUGCAGGAGGGACAUUGGCACUAUAUUUACUUAUAAGCAGAGGGCAGUUGGAAGCUGAGACUUGAGCUUCUUACGGAUUUGAAAGCCUGUAGAAAUAGGGAUUGGUUAUCUACUGGACAUAGCUGAUUAAUACUUUUACAUGUUAGAUGCAUUGUGACUCGUACAUACAUUUAUGAUCUAUGGAAGCUGUUAUGCAGUGUAAAACUAGCAAUUUAUAUCACAACUCCCAAAGAUGGGUUCUUAGAA